GCCUGGGUGGCUCAGUUGGUUAAGCGUCCGACUUCAGCUCAGGUCAUGAUCUCACGGUUCGUGGGUUUGAGCCCCACUUUGGGCU
rnacentral:tRNA from 1 species